GACGAACGCUGGCGGCGUGCUUAACACAUGCAAGUCGAACGAAAAGAGGGAAAGAGCUUGCUCUUUCCGGAAUUGAGUGGCAAACGGGUGAGUAACACGUAAACAACCUGCCUUCAGGAUGGGGACAACAGACGGAAACGACUGCUAAUACCGAAUAAGUUCCAAGAGCCGCAUGGCCCAUGGAAGAAAAGGUGGCCUCUACCUGUAAGCUAUCGCCUGAAGAGGGGUUUGCGUCUGAUUAGCUGGUUGGAGGGGUAACGGCCCACCAAGGCGACGAUCAGUAGCCGGUCUGAGAGGAUGAACGGCCACACUGGAACUGAGACACGGUCCAGACUCCUACGGGAGGCAGCAGUGGGGAAUCUUCCGCAAUGGGCGGAAGCCUGACGGAGCAACGCCGCGUGAGUGAUGACGGCCUUCGGGUUGUAAAACUCUGUGAUCCGGAACGAAAGGGCAGAGUGCGAAGAACAAACUGCAUUGA
rnacentral:rRNA from 1 species